UACGAAGGGGGCAAGCGUUAUUCGGAAUUAUUGGGCGUAAAGGGCGCGUAGGCGGCUUGGCAAGUGGAAGGUGAAAUCCCUCGGCUUAACCGAGGAACUGCCUUCCAGACUGCUUUGCUUGAGGCCGGGAGAGGCGAGUGGAAUUCCCAGUGUAGCGGUGAAAUGCGUAGAUAUUGGGAGGAACACCAGUGGCGAAGGCGGCUCGCUGGACCGGUUCUGACGCUGAGGCGCGAAAGCGUGGGGAGCAAACGGG
rnacentral:rRNA from 1 species